rnacentral:rRNA from 1 species
UACGAAGGGGGCUAGCGUUGUUCGGAAUUACUGGGCGUAAAGCGCACGUAGGCGGAUUGUUAAGUUAGGGGUGAAAUCCCGAGGCUCAACCCUGGAACUGCCUCUAAUACUGGCAAUCUCGAGUCCGAGAGAGGUGAGUGGAAUUCCGAGUGUAGAGGUGAAAUUCGCAGAUAUCUGGAGGAACACCGGUGGCGAAGGCGACAUCCUGGACCGGUAUUGACGCUGAGGCGCGAAAGCCAGGGGAAGCAAAGCGGGG